AUUGAACGCUGGCGGCGUGCUUAACACAUGCAAGUCGAACGAAGUGGCGAACGGGUGAGUAACGCGUAAUCACCCUGCCAUUCAGAGGGGGACAACAGUUGGAAACGACUGCUAAUACCGCAUACUGAAGGAGGGGAUGGCGUCGGAGUGGCUAGUUGGUGGGGUAACGGCCAACCAAGGCGAGGAUAAGUAGCCGGGUUUGUGGGAGCAACGGCCCCACUGGGAAUUGGACACGGCCCAGGCUCCUACGGGAGGCAGCAGGUGGGAAUCUUCCGCAAUGGAGGAAAGUCUGACGCCGCAACUCCGCGUGAUUGAUGACGGCCUUCGGGUUGUAAAGCUCUGUUAAUCGGGACGCGGUAUCUGCAUAGAAAGCCACGGCUAACUACGUGCCAGCAGCCGCGGUAAUAC
rnacentral:rRNA from 1 species